CUCGUAGGCGGUUUGUCGCGUCGGGAGCGAAAGCCCAGGGCUUAACCCUGGGUCUGCUUCUGAUACGGGCAGACUAGAGGUAUGUAGGGGAGAACGGAAUUCCUGGUGUAGCGGUGAAAUGCGCAGAUAUCAGGAGGAACACCGGUGGCGAAGGCGGUUCUCUGGGCAUUACCUGACGCUGAGGAGCGAAAGUGUGGGGGAGCGAAC
rnacentral:rRNA from 1 species